rnacentral:rRNA from 1 species
UACGUAGGGUGCAAGCGUUGUCCGGAAUUAUUGGGCGUAAAGAGCUCGUAGGCGGCUUGUCGCGUCGGCUGUGAAAACCUGGGGCUCAACCCCGGGCCUGCAGCCGAUACGGGCUAGCUAGAGUGUGGUAGGGGAGAUCGAAUUCCUGGUGUAGCGGUGAAAUGCGCAGAUAUCAGGAGGAACACCGGUGGCGAAGGCGGAUCUCUGGGCCAUUACUGACGCUGAGGAGCGAAAGCGUGGGGAGCGAACAGG